rnacentral:rRNA from 1 species
AAUCUUCCGCAAUGGACGAAAGCCUGCCGGAGUAACGCCGCGUGAGUGAAGAAGUCUUUCGGAUCGUAACACUCUGUUGCUAGAGACGAACAAGGAUGAGAGUAACUGCUCGUCCAUUUACGGUAUCUAACCAGAAAGCCAUGGCUAACUACGUGCCAGCAGCCGCGGUAAUACGUAGAUGGCAACCGUUGUCCGGAUUUAUUGGGCGUAAAGCGAGCGCAGGCGGUUCUUUAAGUCUGAUGUGAAAGCCCCUGGCUCAACCAGGGAGGGUCAUUGGAGACUGGAGAACUUGAGUGCAGAAGAGGAAAGUGGAAUUCCAUGUGUAGCGGUGAAAUGCGUAGAUAUAUGGAGGAGCGCCAGUAGCGAAGGCGACUUUCUGGUCUGUAACUGACGCUGAGGCUCGAAAGCAUGGGGAGCAAAC